rnacentral:rRNA from 1 species
AGGUUGGCUCAGAAGCAGCCAUCCUUUAAAGAGUGCGUAACAGCUCACUAGUCGAAUGACUCUGCGCCGAUAAUUUACCGGGGCUAAGCAUACUACCGAAGCUAUGGAUCCCAAGGGAUGGUAGGGGAGCGUUCCAUGAACGGAGAAGUACGACCGAAAGGACGUGUGGAGAUCAUGGAAGAGAGAAUGCCGGUGUGAGUAGCGGAACGUGGGUGAGAAUCCCACGCACCGAAAACCCAAGGUUUCCAGAGGAAGGUUCGUCCGCUCUGGGUAAGUCGGGACCUAAGGCGAGGCCGAAAGGCGUAGUCGAUGGACAACAGGUAGAGAUUCCUGUACCCGUAUAUAUGUGAAGGAAUGACGGAGAGAGGAAGCUGCAGCCAGCGGCUGGAAGAGCUGGUGCAAGCGAGAUAUCGGGAUGGCAGGCAAAUCCACCAUCCGAAACGAGAAGGCGUGAAGCGUACGGAAAGCUACGGCGAGUACGGAAGGCAGUGGAGGAACUUCCAAGAAAAGUUUCUAACGUUAAGUAUAUAUGGCCCGUACCGAAAAUGGACACACAUGGGUGAGGAGAGAAUCCUAAGGUGAGCGAGAGAACUAUAGCUAAGGAACUCUGCAAAAUGACUCCGUAACUUAGGGAGAAGGAGUGCUCAUAGAGAUAUGAGCCGCAGUGAAACGGCCCAAGCGACUGUUUACCAAAAACACAGCUCUCUGCUAAGCCGCAAGGCGAAGUAUAGGGGGUGACGCCUGCCCGGUGCUGGAAGGUUAAGGGGAGGGGUUAACGCAAGUGAAGCCCUGAACUGAAGCCCCAGUAAACGGCGGCCGUAACUAUAACGGUCCUAAGGUAGCGAAAUUCCUUGUCAGGUAAGUUCUGACCCGCACGAAAGGCGUAACGAUUUGGGCGCUGUCUCAGCUGUAGACUCGGUGAAGUCUUAGUACCUGUGAAGAUGCAGGUUACCCGCGACUAGACGGAAAGACCCCAUGGAGCUUCACUGCAGGUUGAUAUUGGGAUUUGAUGCAGCAUGUACAGGAUAGGUAGGAGGCAAAGAGAUGGAUACGCCAGUAUUCAAGGAGCCGCUGUUGGGAUACUACCCCUGUUGUAUUGGAUUUCUAACCGGACGACGUAGAGCCGUUGACGGGACAGUGUCAGUCGGGCAGUUUGACUGGGGCGGUCGCCUCCCAAAGAGUAACGGAGGCGCCCAAAGAUACCCUCAGCUUGGAUGGAAACCAAGCGCAGAGUGCAAAGGCAAAAGGGUGUUUGACUGCGAGACCCACAAGUCGAGCAGGGACGAAAGUCGGGCUUAGUGAUCCGGCGGUGCUGAAUGGAAAGGCCGUCGCUCAACGGAUAAAAGCUACCCUGGGGAUAACAGGCUGAUCUCCCCCAAGAGUUCACAUCGACGGGGAGGUUUGGCACCUCGAUGUCGGCUCAUCGCAUCCUGGAGCUGUAUUCGGUUCCAAGGGUUGGGCUGUUCGCCCAUUAAAGCGGUACGCGAGCUGGGUUCAGAACGUCGUGAGACAGUUCGGUCCCUAUCUGUCGUGGGCGCAGGAAAUUUGAGAAGAGCUGUCCUCAGUACGAGAGGACCGGGAUGGACGCAUCAAUGGUGGACCAGUUGUCACGCCAGUGGCAUAGCUGGGUAGCUAAAUGCGGAAGGGAUAAACGCUGAAGGCAUCUAAGUGUGAAACCCACUUCAAGAUGAGAUUUCCCAUUGCGCAAGCAAGUAAGACCCCUUAAAGACGAUAAGGUAGAUAGGUCAGGAGUGUAAGCAUGGUGACAUGUUAAGCGGACUGAUACUAAUAGGUCGAGGGCUUGACCGA